rnacentral:lncRNA from 1 species
AUUCUCAAGCUGCUGCAGAACUCGACUGCCAUUGAAAUGUGCAAAAGAAAAAUUUCCUGGCAUCUUAAAAAAAAUGUCGAAGUCAGUUACUCCACAAGCCCUGUUUGUAAGAGUCCUUGAAAAGAGAAGCAUCAGUUUUCCAAUAUGAAGUAAAUGGAGAGUCUGGAGUUGCUUCUGUUGGCCAUCAAUUUCCUGUGGUGCAGAGGGGCUACAAAUAUAAUACAGAUUAAACUCCCUGCAGGAAGUCUCUUAUGGAUAAGAACAAGUUCAGCUUCCCAUUGGGGAUGACAGAGCUGGUGCUCAGGUCAUCAACAUCCUGCUGAACCUAUGAGAAAGCAUUUGGGACAACUUGACAAUGCAUGGCUUUGGUAUCAGGAGGAUGAUGCCCUCAUAAAAUGAGUUCGGGAGGAUUCGCUCUUUUUCUAUUGAUUGGAAUAGUUUCAGAAGGAAUGGUACCAGCUCCUCCUUGUACCUCUGGUAGAAUUCAGCUGUUAAUCCAUCUGGUCCUGGACUUUUUUUGUCCAUGAGGAGGUUAUGCUGUACAUUCUUCAGACAGAGAAGCGAAGGGCUUCUGAAGAAAACCUGAACAGAGAGAGAAGGAUUUGCUCCACCUAAAAAUAAUUUUCCAAAGACAGAAAGAAAAGAUAGGUGUCCAUGGCAUUGUGGAGUAGUGGGGGCUUGUGUCUUGCUCCUCAGAAGAAACCUGGUGAGAUGGGACUUUUCUGUGGAGAGUGGCUACAUUAGUAGCCUGCUUCUUCAAAAUAGAUGGUCCACUCAAAAAAGGGGGUGGAAGAAAGAUUUAUGAAGGAAUCAUUUACAUGGUUGAAGGCAAGACUAAAACAAAACAAAAAAAACAAAACAAAAAAAUAAAAACAAGAAGGAAGGAUGAAGUGCUCCUGGGAGUAAAUGGGGAAGCAAGCCUCAAGCUGAAAGUGGAAGAAAUGGGUACCAGGGCCUGUCACUGUAGUUGCAAGUCUAUGAGAGGAUCACCCAACAGGAGCUUUGCCAUUGUUAGAGUAAUGCAUUCUCUCUCAACACAAAACCUCACAGGAGUUUGCCAGGGGAAUAAAUACUUCAAUGUCUAUAUUUCCCACUAUGCUUAUAUCUUCUAUUAAUACUUCCCAUUGACUGAACCCAACUGGAAACCAGAGGCAACAGAAGUAGAAUGAUGUAAUAUGUAGAGGCUGAUGUAGCAUGUGUUUCCUUAAAUUUCCCUAUGGCUAAUGAUAUUGAGCAUGUUUUCACGUGCCUAUUAGCCAUUCAUAUAACUUCUUUGGAUAAAUGUCUAUACAAAUGCUUUGCUCCUUCAAAAGUUGGUUUAUUUGUUUUUUUAUUGUUGAGUUGUAAAAAUUUUUUACAUAUUCUGGAUAUAAGACAUAUGGUUUGCAAGUAUUUUUUCCAUCUGUAGUUUGUUGCUUCACUUUCUUGGUGGUGUUCUAUGAUGCACAUAAAUUGUAAAUUUUGAUAAAUUUCAACUUUUCAAUCU